CAAUAGCGUAUAUUAAAGUUGUUGCAGUUAAAAAGCUCGUAGUUGGAUUUCUGGUGAGAUGGAUUAUGUCUAGGUCGAAAGAUCUUGUUCAUGGUUCGUUUUGCCCUUCUUGUCAGGAACCCGAUGAGAUUCGCGUCUUGUCGGUGGAAUGGCAUCGUUUACUGUGAAAAAAUUAGAGUGUUCAAAGCAGGCAUCGCCGUUGAAUACAUUAGCAUGGAAUAAUAAGAUAAGACUUUGGUGGUCUAUUUUGUUGGUUUGCACGCCAAAGUAAUGAUUAAUAGGGAUAGUUGGGGGUAUUCGUAUUCUAUUGCUAGAGGUGAAAUUCUUAAAUUUAUGGAAGACGAACUACUGCGAAAGCAUUUACCAAGGAUGUUUUCAUUAA
rnacentral:rRNA from 1 species